rnacentral:rRNA from 1 species
GGAGGUGGCAAGCGUUGUUCGGAAUUACUGGGCGUAAAGGGCGCGUAGGCGGCUAGGCAAGUCAGGUGUGAAAGCCCCGGGCUUAACUCGGGAAUUGCAUCUGAAACUGCUGUGCUUGAGUUCUGGAGGGGGUAGUGGAAUUCCCAGUGUAGCGGUGAAAUGCGUAGAUAUUGGGAGGAACACCUGCGGCGAAGGCGGCUACCUGGACAGAAACUGACGCUGAGGCGCGAAAGCUAGGGGAGCGAACGGGAUUAGAUACCCCGGUAGUCCUAGCUGUAAACGAUGGGUACUUGGUGUUGGGGGUAUUGAGUCCCCCGGUGCCGGAGUUAACACGUUAAGUGCCCCGCCUGGGGAGUACGGUCGCAAGACUGAA